GGGGAAUUUUGGACAAUGGACGCAAGUCUGAUCCAGCAAUGCCGCGUGCAGGACGAAGGCCUUCGGGUUGUAAACUGCUUUUGUACGGAACGAAAAGCCUUCUUCUAAUACAGGAGGGUCAUGACGGUACCGUAAGAAUAAGCACCGGCUAACUACGUGCCAGCAGCCGCGGUAAUACGUAGGGUGCAAGCGUUAAUCGGAAUUACUGGGCGUAAAGCGUGCGCAGGCGGUUGUGCAAGACAGGUGUGAAAUCCCCGAGCUUAACUUGGGAAUUGCACUUGUGACUGCACGGCUAGAGUGCGGCAGAGGGGGAUGGAAUUCCGCGUGUAGCAGUGAAAUGCGUAGAUAUGCGGAGGAACACCGAUGGCGAAGGCAAUCCCCUGGGCCUGCACUGACGCUCAUGCACGAAAGCGUGGGGAGCAAAC
rnacentral:rRNA from 1 species